GACGAACGCUGGCGGCGUGCUUAACACAUGCAUGUCGAACGGAAAGGCCCUUCGGGGUACUCGAGUGGCGAACGGGUGAGUAACACGUGGGUGAUCUGCCCUGCACUUUGGGAUAAGCCUGGGAAACUGGGUCUAAUACCGAAUAGGACCACGCGCUUCAUGGUGUGUGGUGGAAAGCUUUUGCGGUGUGGGAUGGGCCCGCGGCCUAUCAGCUUGUUGGUGGGGUAAUGGCCUACCAAGGCGACGACGGGUAGCCGGCCUGAGAGGGUGACCGGCCACACUGGGACUGAGAUACGGCCCAGACUCCUACGGGAGGCAGCAGUGGGGAAUAUUGCACAAUGGGCGCAAGCCUGAUGCAGCGACGCCGCGUGAGGGAUGACGGCCUUCGGGUUGUAAACCUCUUUCAAUAGGGACGAAGCGCAAGUGACGGUACCUAUAGAAGAAGCACCGGCCAACUACGUG
rnacentral:rRNA from 1 species